rnacentral:rRNA from 1 species
AGUGAACGCUGGCGGUAGGCCUAGCACAUGCAAGUCGAACGGCAGCACAGUAAGAGCUUGCUCUUACGGGUGGCGAGUGGCGGACGGGUGAGGAAUACAUCGGAAUCUACUUUUUCGUGGGGGAUAACGUAGGGAAACUUACGCUAAUACCGCAUACGACCUACGGGUGAAAGCAGGGGAUCUUCGGACCUUGCGCGAUUGAAUGAGCCGAUGUCGGAUUAGCUAGUUGGCGGGCUAAAGGCCCACCAAGGCGACGAUCCGUAGCUGGUCUGAGAGGAUGAUCAGCCACACUGGAACUGAGACACGGUCCAGACUCCUACGGGAGGCAGCAGUGGGGAAUAUUGGACAAUGGGCGCAAGCCUGAUCCAGCCAUACCGCGUGGGUGAAGAAGGCCUUCGGGUUGUAAAGCCCUUUUGUUGGGAAAGAAAAGCAGCAGGUUAAUACCCCGCUGUUCUGACGGUACCCAAAGAAUAAGCACCGGCUAACUUCGUG